UAGGGAAUCUUCGGCAAUGGACGAAAGUCUGACCGAGCAACGCCGCGUGAGUGAAGAAGGUUUUCGGAUCGUAAAACUCUGUUGGUAGAGAAGAACGUUGGUGAGAGUGGAAAGCUCAUCAAGUGACGGUAACUACCCAGAAAGGGACGGCUAACUACGUGCCAGCAGCCGCGGUAAUACGUAGGUCCCGAGCGUUGUCCGGAUUUAUUGGGCGUAAAGCGAGCGCAGGUGGUUUAUUAAGUCUGGUGUAAAAGGCAGUGGCUCAACCAUUGUAUGCAUUGGAAACUGGUAGACUUGAGUGCAGGAGAGGAGAGUGGAAUUCCAUGUGUAGCGGUGAAAUGCGUAGAUAUAUGGAGGAACACCGGUGGCGAAAGCGGCUCUCUGGCCUGUAGCUGACACUGAGGCUCGAAAGCGUGGGGAGCAAACAGGAUUAGAUACCCUGGUAGUCCACGCCGUAAACGAUGAGUGCUAGAUGUAGGGAGCUAUAAGUUCUCUGUAUCGCAGCUAACGCAAUAAGCACUCCGCCUGGGGAGUACGACCGCAAGGUUGAAAC
rnacentral:rRNA from 1 species